UUUUAUCUAAGAUUAGGAUUUAGAAUUUAUUUAGGAUUUGAUUAAAGUUUGUCUAAGGUUUGAUUAAUGUUUGUUUAGAAUUUAAUAAAAUUUGAUUAGAAUUUAGAAUUCUAUUGGAAUUUGAUCUAAGACUAGGAUUUAGGAUUUGAUUAAGAUUUAAUUAGGAUUUAUCUUGGAUUUUAUUAUAAUUGAUUUAAGAUUUGAUUAGGAUUUUAUUAAGGUUUGGUUGGAAUUGGUUUAAGAUUUCAUUAAGAUUUUUUGAGGAUUAUAUUCAGAUUUGAUAAGGAUUCAAUUGAAAUUUCUAUUUUUGAUAUUUUUA
rnacentral:lncRNA from 1 species